UUGCCAGCAAAAGUGAAGGUAUAUAACAUGUUAAGCAAUGGAACAAGUGCCACAUCGACAAAGCCAAAGUUGUCUCCACCAAAAUAAGGACCCUCAUGCCAUAAGGACUUGGCCAAAAAUUCAAUAGGAUCACCUCAUCUGCCAUUGCUGAGAUAGAAGGCUGCAACAAAAGGGAAAUUGGACUUGGAUGCAGAAGUGAGUGGCUAAGGUGUUUAGUUUGGUUUGUCAAUUUGUAGAGACAAAGUUGAGAAGAAUGACAAAUGAAAUAACAAUAAAUAAUUCAAGCAAAACAAAGAGAUGAGUCCUGGACGGAUAUUUCUAUGCACGUUGUUUCCUAUGAGACAACUUGUUUUUGCAUGAAACUUAACACAAACAAAAAAUACUAAACACAUAACUGAUAACUGACAUGUAGACACCGAUAAUAAUUUAUAUAAUUAAAUGUAAUUAUGUUUCAUGGUGACGUUGAUGUCAGACACCGGUGUGUCAAUCGAUGUGUUAGAAAACAGACAUGCAUUCGAUCUAAAGUGUUGAUGUCAUACUUUCGCAUUUCUUGUUGGGAGUACUGAUGAAACAUUGGUGUUGUUGGGGGGUUCUUUUAAAUACUAUAUAAGUUGUCCAUAACAAGAAAGAAAGUAACAACAAAGCAGAUGAAGCAAAUAUAAAACACAAAACUACAAACAAUUGCACAAAGACUUAGUACUUUAAAGCUUGUUGGCCUGCAGGCAGGCACUAGUACCAUGUCGGAUUCCUCAUAUUCUUCUGCUUGUUUAAAGAUUGUAUAUGAUACUUUGACAACAAAGCCAUUGCUUUUUUGUGUUUAGAUUCAAGGAUAUGCCAAACCAAACAAAUAAUUAAAUCAAUUGAAAAUUGAAAGAAAGAAUCUUAUCUGAUAACAAAAUACAAGUAAAUUUCUUAAGAAGAUCUUAUAUUUAAAGACAAAGGGACUGGUUUCAAUGACAUCAUGCAUAACAAAGCAUAAAAAACUUGAUUAAAAGACCUAUUACAUUUCACAAGUUUGUGAAAACCUUUCCU